rnacentral:tRNA from 1 species
GCCGGGGUGGCGGAACUGGCAGACGCACAGGACUUAAAAUCCUGCGGUGAGUGAACACCGUACCGGUUCGAUUCCGGUCCUCGGCACCA